UAAACACCUAAAUAUCCAAAUCCAAAAAAUUCAUUUCAUGAUUAAUGUGUACACCAAUUUUUUUUUCUAACAAUAUUAUUUGUAAAUGGUGGGUUCUUACAUUAUAUAAAUCAUAUUCUUAGCCUAUCAAGAAAACAUCUUGUCCUUGGAAAUUUGCUACACAGAAACCAUGAAUUCAAACAAAAAAUUUAUCGUGGUUUUUGUCCUCAUCGUUGUCUCAUGUGGUUCUAUUUCAGAGGCGGUGUCGUCGUGCAAAGGCCAUGAAGAUUGUCAAUACAUGGAAUGUCCGACCCCGACCCUCAAGAUGUGUCUCUUUGGUACGUGUGUCUGCCAACCGCUUCCCGAAAAAGACCCUUUUACCCUCCACGGAACCCGGCUGUCUCGAUGCGUCCUCUCCUGCAAGAGUAUGGGCAAAUCCGUCAUUUCCGUCGCCGGUGAUAAGUGCCAGUGCGGUUGAUUCACCAUAAUUAUUUAUGUUUGAAGCUUUCAAUAAAACUCGUUGAAUGUGAUUAAUUUGCGACAAGUAAAUGAAUUAAGUUAAUUAUCUUU